UACGAAGGGGGCUAGCGUUGCUCGGAAUCACUGGGCGUAAAGGGCGCGUAGGCGGAUCUUUAAGUCGGGGGUGAAAGCCUGAGGCUCAACCUCAGAAUUGCCUUCGAUACUGGAGAUCUUGAGACCGGAAGAGGUAAGUGGAACUGCGAGUGUAGAGGUGAAAUUCGUAGAUAUUCGCAAGAACACCAGUGGCGAAGGCGGCUCACUGGCCCGAAACUGACGCUGAGGUGCGAAAGCGUGGGGAGCAAACAGGG
rnacentral:rRNA from 1 species